rnacentral:rRNA from 1 species
UACGUAGGUGGCAAGCGUUGUCCGGAAUUAUUGGGCGUAAAGCGCGCGCAGGCGGUCCUUUAAGUCUGAUGUGAAAGCCCACGGCUCAACCGUGGAGGGUCAUUGGAAACUGGAGGACUUGAGUACAGAAGAGGAAAGCGGAAUUCCACGUGUAGCGGUGAAAUGCGUAGAGAUGUGGAGGAACACCAGUGGCGAAGGCGGCUUUCUGGUCUGUAACUGACGCUGAGGAGCGAAAGCGUGGGGAGCGAACAGG